rnacentral:rRNA from 1 species
AUUGAACGCUGGCGGCAGGCUUAACACUUGCAAGUCGAACGAGUGGCGGACGGGUGAGUAAUGCUUGGGAAUCUAGCUUAUGGAGGGGGAUAACUACGGGAAACUGUAGCUAAUACCGCGUACCAUAGGAUGAGCCCAAGUGGGAUUAGGUAGUUGGUGAGGUAAAGGCUCACCAAGCCGACGAUCUCUAGCUGGUCUGAGAGGCUGACCAGCCACACUGUGACUGAGACACGGCCCAUGCUCCUACGUGAGGCAGCAGUGGGGAAUAUUGCACAAUGGGCGCAAGCCUGAUGCAGCCAGGACGCGUGUGUGAAGAAGGCCUUCGGGUUGUAAAGCACUUUCAGCGAGGAGGCGUUACUCGCAGAAGAAGCACCGGCUAACUCCGUGCCAGCAGCCGCGGUAAUAC